rnacentral:rRNA from 1 species
GACGAACGCUGGCGGCGUGCCUAACACAUGCAAGUCGAACGGAGCACUUCGGUGCUUAGUGGCGAACGGGUGAGUAACGCGUGAGCAACCUACCUUUCAGUGGGGGACAACAGUUGGAAACGACUGCUAAUACCGCAUGAUGUCAUCGGGGGACAUCCUCUGGUGACCAAAGCUUUAUGUGCUGAAAGAUGGGCUCGCGUCUGAUUAGCUAGAUGGCGGGGUAACGGCCCACCAUGGCGACGAUCAGUAGCCGGUCUGAGAGGAUGAACGGCCACAUUGGGACUGAGAUACGGCCCAGACUCCUACGGGAGGCAGCAGUGGGGAAUAUUGGGCAAUGGGGGGAAACCCUGACCCAGCAACGCCGCGUGAAGGAAGAAGGCCCGUCGGGUUGGUAAACUUCUUUUACCAGGGACGAAGAAGUGACGGUACCUGGAGAAAAGCAACGGCUAACUACGUG